AAAGAAUGUAGUUUCAUGGAUUUUUAUCUAAUGUUUGACUGUUCGUCUUAUUUGAAAAUUUUUGUGAUUGGUUUUUUAUUAGAUGAUAAAACAUGAAUAGUACUUUAAGCGUAAAUAUUUUUUUAAUUUUUUCAUAAAAUUUUUAAAUAAGAUGAACGGUUAAAGUUGGACACGGAUUUACGGAAAUCCAUAAU
rnacentral:pre_miRNA from 1 species